CUGGAUUUAUGCACAUAUUAUAUCCCAAAUUACAGUACAAAAUGACACAUAAAAAUGUGACAUGGUAAACAAUGUACAAAAUGCAUCACCCGUAGUUAUAUUCCUGAAAAUUAAAUACUGAAAGAGGAAUCAGCCCUUCAGCGUGGAGUGCCGAACACUGUCCGGCAUAACGUAAUCAUCCAUCACUUGGCGUGGAGUACCGAACGUUGCUCGCGUAUCGCGCACUUCGACUUUUCAUGCCUAGCGACUCGGUUUGAAAUUUAAGUAUUCAGUAGGCCUAUGGAUAAAGAAGCAGGCUGUCGAAUGAUACAUAAAAUGAUUCUGAAAGAUCGAUUUUACCAUUGCUUUCCCCCUUUGAAAUAUAGAUCGAUUAUUGAUCUGAAUUGCAUUCAGUCUGUUUGUGGCUCUCUCUACCGAAGAUGAAUGAAAUAAUAUAGAAACGGCUACGACAGCUGCGUAGGGCACAUCGCAAGUUCUCCAGCAGUAUAUAACAUCAACUGAAAGGUUCAAUGCAUUUUUUGUUCCCCCCCUUCGUAUGAACGUACUUCUUUUGUACUAAAGUCUGCCCUUAGUCGGCCAUGAUCAUGGCUCCGAGUAGCAGACGUUUUUUGUCUCCUGAAAAUAUUGAUAACACCGUGGAUGAACCUCUCACUGUUUCCGAAACUACCGUGGUCGAUAUGUAAUCGAUUAUUUACCUGUGCGUGGAUUUCUUACUCUUUGUGAAUCUGAAAAUGAAGACUGACGGUGCGCAGUGGUUUACCGAGAAGUGUGGCGCGUGCUAUAGCUUUUGAUGGGUGUUCAUUUACAAUUAUAUAGAACAAAGAAAACAGUUUGUAGGUAAUUGUGGACUUAAGAACGAAGGGGAAAAUGUGACUGUGUUCAAACUCUUUUUCACUCACGAGCUGAUAGCUUUAAUCAUGUAUGAAAUUAAUCGCAAUGUAGCGUAAUGCAUAAAUUCUACGACCCUUCCCAUACAUUUUCGAUCAAGUGUAAGGGAAUGUAAACCUGUCACUGAUGAUGAAAUGUACGUUGUCUUGGUACUUUUAAUAUUAAUGGGAAUAGUACAAAAUCCUACCCUGAAGUCUUACUUUUUAAAAACAUUCUGUUUUGACAACACAUAUCUUCGGCUCUGUUAUUUCUACAGAUUUCAAUUUGUCUGUAAAUUGAUUCACUUCAGUAACAAUUACAGCAAAGACACACCAUGGGCAUCCAAAACGUUUUAAAAUAUAUACUGUAAUUUCCAAUCUGAAAAAAAAAAUCAGACCAGGUCAGAAUAUUGCAAUAGAAGAGUCACAGACUUCAUGGACAGGAAGACUGUCAUUCAAGCAGUAUAUUCCACUAAAAUAAUCAAGUUUGGAAUCAAGACUUAUGAGCUUUGCAAGUCCAGUUCAGAAUAUUUGCAGUCAUUCAUAUUUACACUGGAAAGGAUCAGAGGAUACAAACAUCAGCUGUUGUAUUAUUUCUAGCAGAGUCAUAUACUGUGGAUGGACAACUUCUACAAUGCACCGUCACUGGCUCAGAUACUGAAAUCAAUAAUGACUGUGUUGGUACUCUCUGAAUAAAUAGGAAAGAUGUGCCUAAAGCUGUCACAGAUAAGCUAAAGAAGGGGGGAACUAAUAGUUCAACAUUCUGGCCCUAUAUCUGUGCUAAAAUGGAGCGACACAGGACUAUAACCAAAACAUGAUAGUUUCACACAUACCUCUUGGAAAAAAAGAAAAUGACCCACCAAACUGUUUCAAAGAUUGCUAAAUGCCACAGCUCUAAAUUCUAUGAUGAUCUUCAGGGAAAAUUCAACAGGUAUCAAAAUUGACCACUUGAUAUAAAGGUGGACCUAAUGCAGGCUCUCCUUGUUGAUCAUGGUGGUGAGGUAGAUGAAGUGCCAGGGAGACAUUCCACAAACAAGACUGUGCCUCGAUUAAUUAAAAGACAUUUUCCGGAGAGAAUUCUUCCAACAGAGAAAAAGUCAUGGCCUACAAAGUGUUGUGUAGUGUGUUUGUUGUUGAGAAAGAAGAGUGUUUUGGUGUCCAGAUUGUGAAGCUGGGCUGUGUUGAGGGCUGCUUCAAAAAUACCACAUGAAACUCAACUUUCAAGAGUAAACAUACCUCAUACUUCACCGAACUGAACUGCCUAACAUGUGGAAAGUGGCCAUCCAUUAACAACUAGACAUGGUGCUUCAAACUGGCAGAUACAUAUUUUAGCGUGUCUGCAAAAAUGGCUUCAGUUUCUUUCUGAACGAUUCAAGGUCAUCAGUCGUGUGAGGCUCAUUCAUGUAUAACUCUCACUUCAGUACAGCCCAAAGGAAAAUAUCUCGCUUAUGUGAGCACAUGCAGACAUCUAAUAUGUACAGCAAAUACCAACACCACACAUAAGGGAAGUUCACCUGGACAAAGCAUCACAUGCUUGGAUUGCCAUAUAAAGUAAAAUCCCUCAUAUAUGUGCUGUGUGUUCAAAUGUGUGCCAGUGUCAGUUCUGAAAGCAGUGGGUGCAACCACACUCUUGUGGAAUCCAUUUUACUACAUUCACAGUCACAAUUACUACACCAGUACUGUACGUAGAAGGAACAGGCACAUGUAGCAGAUGGCUAAAACAUCAGGAGGAGGAGGAUAUGAAGCUUAUGAUAACUAUGGAAGGACAAACAUAUAAACACGGUCUCUGGAAACAUGCUAUAUACUCAUCACUGUUACCAACAGUUUCAUCAUGUAGUGAAAUAAUCACUAAAAUAAUAACUUUAUUUUUAAAACACUAAAAAUAAAGCAUAAUAUUUACAUUUACAACUGUAAUUUUCAUUUUUGUCCUAUGCUGUUUCAAAACUAAUAUAAUAAAUUAAAUAUAAACUGUGGAGAGUAAUCAAUGUGAAGUGAAUACUUUUGAAUCCUUAUAUUUCUGAAUUAGUUCAAUUAACACAUCAAAGCCUCGGACAGACGGACCUAACAGAGGUCCGAAUGGAAGAGGAGAAUUGAGGGCCGAAUACGGACCAGAGAGCCAUAGGAGAAGAGGAAGAAGAAGAAGACAUACCUGUACCGUAUCUGGUCAAUCACAUCAGUUGAAUAUCGGCUGCUAAUGCUCAGGGAGUGAGGGUUUCCAUACACGUUCUCACACAGGUCUUCGGCUAUGGCCUUGAUUUGACUCUCUGCAUAGAGUGUAGCUCCAACAUGAUCCAAGUAGCACAUACCUUAUGGACAAAAUACGUGGCCAGAUAGACAGAAUUAAGAAUGCACAUUCUUCUAUGCUCUCCCAGCACCACGGUUCUGUCGGUGGCUAAAAACUGAAUAUUGGUCUCCUGAGUUAUGAUGCCAUAUAGUCUUGUUGGUGAUUACCAACCUUUCAAACCUAUCACCUGCAUCUACCCUGAAGAAGGAGAAAGCAAGUUCCUCCAAGAUGCUGGCAACCACCUAAAGGCUUUAAUGAUGGUCCAUAUUAUCGCAAUCCAAAUCUGUUUAUAUGUUCAGUUCCAGGGUUCUGGAUGUUGUGUAGUCGACAUCAACUGACUGAUUUAUGUGAAUCUUUGUAGAACAUAUCACCAUUAUAGACUUACGCAUAUUGGUACUUUCUAAUUUUGUCAUCAACAACACCCAAUAGUGACUAUUCAGACUUAUGAGAUGGUAACAACAUUAGUUCCAUCUGAUAUAUGUACAUAUACUGAACUUUUGAGUAGCAGUAUUUCUUUGAAAAGUAUGCUCCCUUAAUUAAACUAUUAUUUUAAGAAAACAGAAACUAUUAAUAUGGUGAUUAUACAAAAUAUUGUAUUUCAUGAUAACUGAUGAACUGCCACAACAUAAUAUGUAUAAUUUAUGACCAUGUGGUGUUAAAUCUGAUAUAGUAUGAGUGAUAAUAAAACAUGUAAGUUCUAAGGUAAUCUUUGGGAUGUUAACAUGAACCACUAAGCUGAAGCAUCAGAAAUUACCUGAUUUGUAAUCAUCAGUGAAUCAUGGAUGGGUCAUUACUUGUACUGACUGACUGUUUUCCUUAUACUUUGUAGGCAAAUGUAUCUUAAAACAGUCCAUGACAACCUUCACCUAAAUCCGUACAUACUUAUUGCCUAUGAUCACCUGACCGUCUCAUUUGAUUCUUUUAUGUAAGACCCUCUGAAAACUGUUAUUACCUUUAUGAAAGUAUUAUCUCCUGAAAAAAUGCAAACCUGCACCACACUUCAUCAGUUGUAGCUAUCAACCAGUGUUACAAUACAUAAGUACGUAAAACACCUCAGAAACAUUUAUUUUGCCUUUUCCAAUAAACAAUGCUUUCAUAAAAGUAGUAACAAUAUAUCAGGGUACGCUGUAUAACACCUGCAGUAAAUGAGCACUGUUAAAUAGCCAAUCCGUCAA